AAAAAGACAAACCCUGGUUUCCGUGCCCAACGUUUGACCGUCCGUCUUAUUUGAAAAAAAUAUGAAAAAAAUUAAAAAGACAAGUCACGCACAAAGUAUUAAUCAUGUUUUAUCAUCUAACAAUAAUAAAAAUAUGAAUUAUAAAAAAAUUUCAUAUAAGACGGACAAUCAAAGUUGGACACGGAAAUCCAAGGUUUGUCUUUUU
rfam:Oryza sativa Japonica Group DNA, chromosome 3, cultivar: Nipponbare, complete sequence.